CUCAAAUGAUCGACAUAUGGUCUACUUCCAAUCUUUUGGAUUCAAAGUACUCCAGCGUUUCUUCCUCUCCAAGAAUUCCAGCUGACAAUUUUCCGAUUACAUUUUUUUCUAUAGUGACCUAAUUCAAUUCGGUCUUUUCAACGUAAUUUUCUUCGUCAUUGAAGAAACAGGGUAAUGUGCAAUUUCACUGGUUCCGGUGUUCCAGCUCAGACCCCCAGUCUGAAGCCCUUUUUCUCCUCUCAAAUGGUGCAUAUGUGAGCAACUGGUGAAAAGGGGCAGGCACUGGGCGGGUACGCGUCCCGCUUCCCUUCAGCCCAGGAAACAGGCCAGCCAGGGGUCUGCCAGUGGACACGUCCUGGGGACGUUGGGGGCCCGGACUGAGGAACCCACGACGUUCCUGAGUCGACCCGCCUGCACCCCGGCACCUCAAGGAAUGGGUAAUCAAAAGAUGUUUCCUUAGGAGGAGAGAACCCCCAGGGUAACCCAGCAAGGGAGCAUCGCGGCACACUAGCCGCCAGUCCAGGGACGUCGCAAAGACGCGCGCCUGCGCAGUGGCGCUUCGCGCCUCGCCAGCUUUCCUUCCCACGACCUCCCUUCCAGCGCCUGCGUACCAAGACCCGCUUCCCGCAGGCCUGCGAAGCUGGGGAUACCGGAUAGCUUUUCCUGCCGACUGAGGUGGGAACGAUAGGCUCGUACCUGACUCCACUGUCUCUCCCGUCCCAGCCUACCAGACUAACUAUACACGUUCCAUCGCAAGUCACCCUAGAACGGAGGGACUUGAUCCUUGAGGAGUUCAGGAAACUGGCAUGCGCCCACGUAUCCCGGAGGGGUGUGUGUGUGUGUGUGUGUGUGUGUGUGUGUUGGGGGCGGUCACCCAGCGGCUCCGCUUCAAACUACCGUGAGACGAGAGCUGCCUCUAGGGCCCAACCCCCUCGCUUGGGUCUGGGGCCCCGCGAGACAGUGGGCAGGGGUGGGGGCGCCGAGAGCGGGGGCGGGGUGCAGCGGCCGAGUGACAGUAAGCCUCACCUAUACCGGGCGCGGACCGCGGCGGAGUAGUGGGCCCGGCAGCCAAUGGAAAGCGGCGGGAGGCGGGGGGACCGGCCAGCGGGGAGGGGGCGCCCACGCGGGGGAACGCGAGGGGAGGAGGGGAUGUGCUCCUGAUCCGGUUCCAUCCGGUUCUCCCACUGCCCCUGUCGCGAGUCCCAGCAGCUCCGGAGCUGGAGAAGCGGCAGCUACCAGGCAGCCCAGCUUCGCGAAGGCUCUCGGCGCGCUGCGGCCCGCAGGCUUCCGGCACGCGCCCGCCCCGCUGCCACGAAGCCCGAGAGGAAGGUCAGCUCCGCCGAGGGGGCAGCGAAGGAGGAGAAACCUGCUCCUGCAAAACUGGAAACGAAGCCCAAAAAGGCAUCAGGAAAGGUGGGUUUCAAACUUACAAUAAGAGUCUGUGGUGUCUUCGAAAUGCAGCAGUGCUUCGCAACAUGUGACUUUCCUUAAUAAAGCCAUUGCUGACCCCUAAGGUCUUGUGAAACUGUUAAUGACUAAGAUCUUGACUUUGAAUCUGUCACAAUAAUUAAUAGAUGUCAGUCUCCUGAAGUUGAAAUUUUAUCGUAUUUAUCUACUUAAACUUUGUAUUUUAAUAAGUAGACUUUUUUCCUCUGAUCUGGGUAAAAUAUAACAGAUACAAUUAUCCUGGCUUAUGGGAAUAUGUGUCACAUUAAUGCUGCUGCGAAUUUAGGACACUUAAGAUGGCUAGAAAUACUAAAUAUCGGCUUACAAAGGAAACUCAUUCUUUGUGUUGUGUACGUUUUGGGGUCGGUGGUUGUCCAUUGGUUGCAUGCUUGUACUUUUUUUUAAAUUUUUAUUGGGGAAUAUUGUGUUUCUCCAGUGCCCAUCAGCUCCAAGUCGUUGUCCUUCAAUCUUAGUUGCAGGGGCGCAGCUCAGCUCCAAGUCCAGUCGCCGUUUUAAAUCUUUAGUUGCAGGGGGCGCAGCCCACCAUCCCAUGUGGGAAUUGAACCGGCAACCUUGUUGUUGAGAGCUCGCACUCUAACCAACUGAGCCAUCCAGCCACCCCUCCGGAAGCUCAGCGGCAGCUCCUUAUCUUCAGUCUAGUUGUGGAGGGUGCAUCUCGCUGGCCCAUGUGGGAAUCGAACCAGCAACCCUGUUCAUAGCUCGCACUAUAACGAACUGAACCAUCUGGCCACCCCCAUGCUUGUAAUUUUAAUAACAGCAAAGCUAGGACUGAGGCCAGAAGAAAAGGAAUGUGUUAAGUUUUUGCAUGUAAAGUUUGCAGGCCAAGUUAGAGGG
ensembl:lncRNA